rnacentral:rRNA from 1 species
UGGGGAAUAUUGCACAAUGGGCGCAAGCCUGAUGCAGCAACGCCGCGUGAGGGACGACGGCCUUCGGGUUGUAAACCUCUUUUGGCAGGGAAGAAGCGAAAGUGACGGUACCUGCAGAAAAAGCACCGGCUAACUACGUGCCAGCAGCCGCGGUGAUACGUAGGGUGCAAGCGUUGUCCGGAAUUAUUGGGCGUAAAGAGCUCGUAGGUGGUUUGUCGCGUCUGCUGUGAAAACCCGAGGCUCAACCUCGGGCCUGCAGUGGGUACGGGCAAACUAGAGUGCGGUAGGGGAGAUUGGAAUUCCUGGUGUAGCGGUGGAAUGCGCAGAUAUCAGGAGGAACACCGAUGGCGAAGGCAGAUCUCUGAGCCGUAACUGACGCUGAGGAGCGAAAGCAUGGGGAGCGAACA